AAAUUGAAGAGUUUGAUCAUGGCUCAGAUUGAACGCUGGCGGCAGGCCUAACACAUGCAAGUCGAACGGUAACAGGAAGCAGCUUGCUGCUUUGCUGACGAGUGGCGGACGGGUGAGUAAUGUCUGGGAAACUGCCUGAUGGAGGGGGAUAACUACUGGAAACGGUGGCUAAUACCGCAUGACGUCGCAAGACCAAAGAGGGGGACCUUCGGGCCUCUUGCCAUCAGAUGUGCCCAGAUGGGAUUAGCU
rnacentral:rRNA from 1 species